GGGCAAGUGGCGGAAUGGCAGACGCGCUGGCUUCAGGUGCCAGUGGGGUAACACCCGUGGGGGUUCAAGUCCCCCCUUGCCCACCA
rnacentral:tRNA from 1 species